rnacentral:lncRNA from 10 species
CAGGCGACGAGAUGUUCACAACGCGGGCAGGGACGUGGACAAUGAGAAUGCUGCCAUCUCCAUGAAAAAAGCCCAUGUUCGCCAGCUGGAGGAUAAGAUACAACAGGGAGGAGAAGCAAGGUGCCCCUUGUUGACAAUCCCAGAAGCAGAAGCUCAUGCCCAGAAGCACAGCUGCCUAGUUGACAGGCUCAGCUGAGACCAGAAGAAUGGCCCCACCAAGCCCAGCCUAAAUGGCUGACCAUCACAAUUAUGAGCUAAGAAGUUUUGGAUGGUUUGUUAUGCUGUAAGAGCUAACUAAUACGUGCACCCAGUGCAGAUAGGAUGCCAAAAAUUAAUGAGGAUUGCCUUCUUUUUAAAAUCUCAGGCUG